UACGUAGGGGGCAAGCGUUGUCCGGAAUCACUGGGCGUAAAGCGCACGUAGGCGGAUUGCUAAGUCAGGGGUGAAAUCCUGGAGCUCAACUCCAGAACUGCCUUUGAUACUGGCGACCUUGAGUCCGGGAGAGGUGAGUGGAACUGCGAGUGUAGAGGUGAAAUUCGUAGAUAUUGGGAAGAACACCGGUGGCGAAGGCGGCUCUCUGGACCGAGACUGACGCUGAGGCGCGAAAGCGUGGGGAGCAAACAGG
rnacentral:rRNA from 1 species